UGAAUUGAUGAUGAAACCGAGUCAUUUUGCACUUGUUCAGAUGCAUUUUGCCUUGUCAAAGAGAAUGCACAUGUGCAGGUGGUCCCAAAUUGAACAUGGCAUGAAAUUCGUGACCUGAAAUUUGCGCAAGAAGCAGAGUCCAUGGUACCAUGUUGGAGCUUAGGCCAAAUGAAAUGCACUCGGGCAUUUUGAGAUAUUCUUCGUGCCAAAUGAUCUCUUCAUGAUGAAGAAUCAGAUGAAAAAAGA
rnacentral:lncRNA from 1 species